AUUGAACGCUGGCGGCAUGCCUUACACAUGCAAGUCGAACGGUAACAGGUCUUCGGAUGCUGACGAGUGGCGAACGGGUGAGUAAUACAUCGGAACGUGCCUGAUCGCGGGGGAUAACGCGGCGAAAGCUGUGCUAAUACCGCAUACGAUCUCCGGAUGAAAGCGGGGGAUCGCAAGAGCUCGCGCGGACGCAGCGGCCGAUGGAAGAUUAGGUAGUUGGUGGGAUAAAAGCUUACCAAGACGACGAUCUGUAGCUGGUCUGAGAGGGACGAGCAGCGACACUGGGACUGAGACACGGCCCAGACUCCUACGGGAGGCAGCAGUGGGCAAUUUUGGACAAUGGGCGCAAGCCUGAUCCAGCCAUGCCGCGUGCAGGAUGAAGGCCUUCGGGUUGUAAACUGCUUUUGUACGGAACGAAAAAGUUCUCUCUAAUACAGGGGGCGAAUGACGGUACCGUAAGAAUAAGCACCGGCUAACUACGUGCCAGCCGCCGCGGUAACAC
rnacentral:rRNA from 1 species